rnacentral:rRNA from 1 species
GUGAAGAAGGUUUUCGGAUCGUAAAACUCUGUUGUUGGAGAAGAACGUAUUUGAUAGUAACUGAUCAGGUAGUGACGGUAUCCAACCAGAAAGCCACGGCUAACUACGUGCCAGCAGCCGCGGUAAUACGUAGGUGGCAAGCGUUGUCCGGAUUUAUUGGGCGUAAAGCGAGCGCAGGCGGUUUCUUAAGUCUGAUGUGAAAGCCUUCGGCUCAACCGAAGAAGUGCAUCGGAAACUGGGAAACUUGAGUGCAGAAGAGGACAGUGGAACUCCAUGUGUAGCGGUGAAAUGCGUAGAUAUAUGGAAGAACACCAGUGGCGAAGGCGGCUGUCUGGUCUGUAACUGACGCUGAGGCUCGAAAGCAUGGGUAGCAAACAGGAUUAGAUACCCUGGUAGUCCAUGCCGUAAACGAUGAGUGCUAGGUGUUGGAGGGUUUCCGCCCUUCAGUGCCGCAGCUAACGCAUUAAGCACUCCGCCUGGGGAGUACGACCGCAAGGUUGAAACUCAAAGGAAUUGACGGGCCCG